AUGUCCAUGAUGGGGGAGCUGAAGUUCUUCCUUGGUAUUCAAAUACGACAACAAUGCAAUGGCAUCUUCAUAUCUCAAGAGAAGUAUCUCAAAGAUUGCCUGAAGAAGUUCGGUAUGCAAGACUGCAAAGGCUUCACAACACCAAUGCCAGCCAAACAUCAUCUGGGUCCUGAUGACGAUGGUAAAGAGUUCGAUCAAAAGGUAUACCGCUCCAUGAUUGGUUCUUUACUUUAUCUAUGUGCAUCUAGGCCAGAUAUUAUGCUUAGUGUUUGCAUGUGUGCUCGAUUUCAAGCGGCACCAAAGGAGUCGCAUCACUUAGCUGUGAAGCGAAUUCUUCGAUAUUUGGCUCACACCCCAACUCUAGGAUUAUGGUAUCCAAAGGGCUCAGAGUUUGAUUUGGUUGGAUUCCCGGAUGCUGAUUAUGCUGGUGAUAAAGUUGAUCGCAAGUCUACAUCAGGCACAUGUCACUUUCUGGGACGAUCACUUGUAUGUUGGUCUUCAAAGAAGCAGAACUAUGUAUCUCUCUCCACUGCUGAAUCUGAAUACAUUGCUGCUGGAUCUUGCUGCGCUCAGCUUCUGUGGAUGAAGCAAACACUCAAGGACUAUGGCAUUCAUCUGAAGCAAGUGCCACUUUACUGCGACAACGAAAGCGCCAUCAAGAUUGCCAACAACCCAGUUCAGCACUCGAAGACAAAGCACAUUGAAAUUCGUCAUCACUUUCUCAGAGAUCAUGUUGUGAAGGAAGACAUUGAUAUCAUACACGUCAACACUGAAGAGCAAUUGGCAGAUAUCUUCACCAAGCCUUUGGAUGAGAAGAGGUUUUGCAAGUUACGGUGUGAGCUAAAUAUCCUGGAAUCCUCAAAUGUCCUGUGA
rnacentral:rRNA from 1 species